rnacentral:lncRNA from 1 species
CGGACGCAGUGAAGCUUGGGACGCGUGGGAGGAUGGACUCGGAAGCUUCACGGGAUGCUGGGCUGCACGCGGAUGAGCUUGAGAUGGAGCUGAUCACAUGCGCUGGGAUGAUCAUGAAUCCUGGGAUUUGCUGUUGUUCCGGGACGUGGAGGAUCACUCGCGGGAGAAGCGGAAUCUGGGAGGCUCGUGGAUGCUGGGUGGACUGGUUCGGAAGGAAUGCUUCAUGGGAUGCUGACCGGCUGGGCUUGAACGCUUGGGAUUGGUUGGAACACCUAGGAGCUGAUGUGGCUGGAACUCGGGUGCAAGAUGGCUUCACAAGCAGAGAAGACGGGCUGCUGGUGC